rnacentral:lncRNA from 1 species
GGGGGUCAAUUGACAAUUGUGGUCAUAUAAAUUUAUUUGUAGAUCUUACUUUGCUGAACAUUUUUGCUGUUUACAGUUUAUCUUUAUCCUUAAUUAUAUUUCAGAUAACCAAAACUGUAUUUUAUUUUUGUGGCAGCAACCCAACAAUGGAUUGUUAGAUUCAUAUGGAAAUUCCAUGUUUGAUAGAACUUGACCUAAUGAACAAUUUUACCUCCAUCAUAUUUGCUCUUAAUGCUUUAGCGUUUGAGAUAUAAGCCAAAAACUGCAUUUUACCCCAAUUUUCUAUUUUUAGCAAUGGCAGCAAUGUUUUUUUACGAAAAAAAAAACAAAAUUCAAACUUUAUUCUAAUUACCCUAAGGAUAAUUCAGCUUGUGUUUAGUUGGAAUUGCUUCAGUAGUUUCACAGAAG